AAUAUUGCACAAUGGGGGAAACCCUGAUGCAGCGACGCCGCGUGAGCGAAGAAUGCCNNNGGGUUNUAAAGCUCUGUCCUAAGNGAANAAACGGACGGUACCAUAGGAGGAAGCCCCGGCUAACUACGCGCCAGCAGCCGCGGUAAUACGUAGGGGGCGAGCGUGAUCCGGAAUUACUGGGCGUAAAGGGUGCGUAGGCGGCCUUUUAAGUCAGAUGUGAAAGGCUACGGCUUAACCGUAGUUAGCAUUUGAAACUAAAAGGCUUGAGUGCAGGAGAGGAGAGUGGAAUUCCUAGUGUAGCGGUGAAAUGCGUAGAUAUUGGGAGGAACACCAGUGGCGAAGGCGACUCUCUGGACUGCAACUGACGCUGAGGCACGAAAGCGUGGGGAGCGAAC
rnacentral:rRNA from 1 species